rnacentral:misc_RNA from 1 species
GGAAUAUUGGUCAAUGGACGCGAGUCUGAACCAGCCAAGUAGCGUGAAGGAUGACUGCCCUAUGGGUUGUAAACUUCUUUUAUAUGGGAAUAAAGUGGUCCACGUGUGGAUUUUUGUAUGUACCAUAUGAAUAAGGAUCGGCUAACUCCGUGCCAGCAGCCGCGGUAAUACGGAGGAUCCGAGCGUUAUCCGGAUUUAUUGGGUUUAAAGGGAGCGUAGGCGGAUUGUUAAGUCAGUUGUGAAAGUUUGCGGCUCAACCGUAAAAUUGCAGUUGAUACUGGCAGUCUUGAGUGCAGUAGAGGUGGGCGGAAUUCGUGGUGUAGCGGUGAAAUGCUUAGAUAUCACGAAGAACUCCGAUUGCGAAGGCAGCUCACUGGAGUGUAACUGACGCUGAUGCUCGAAAGUGUGGGUAUCAAACAGGC